rnacentral:tRNA from 1 species
GUUCCUGUGGCUCAGUUGGUAGAGCAUGGUGUGUGCAACGCCAGGGUUGUGGGUUCGAUUCCUACGGGGGGCC